CUCGGGAGUAGCCUGACAGGACAGCCUUGCCGGGCAGGAUGCUCUAUGCUGGACAGGAAGCGACUAAACCAAUGACAUUCUCAAGGAGCUUCAAUACUUCCAAGAGUCAGAAAUCAAGAGAGUGAUAUGGAAGCCAAAGGCACACAGAGAAAACUCAACAUGCGGAGGUCAUAAAACAGCAGAAACCACAAGUCACAGAGAAGAGUGGAAACAGAAGACACUCAGUAGCAGGAAAGCUACAAUCCCUAGAGAGACUGAGGAAGGAUAUGCUUAUUCAGGGCUAUGACUGAGUCUCGGGGGACAAGAAUAAAAGUGGAUUUAAACUUGAUUACCUUUGUGAAGAUCCUAUAGCCAAAUAAGGCCACACUGCAAAGUAGUGGGGUUUAGGACUUCAACAUAUGGAUUUUGAGGUGGCAAAAUUCAACCCAUAAUAGUGUCCAACAGUCAGUGUGACUGGUAUCCUUAUAAAAAGGGGAAAUUUGGAGACAGUGUGCUCACAGGAAGAACGCCCUGUUAAGAUGAAGGCAAAGAUUGGGGUGAUGCAUCUAUAAGCCAAGGAACCCCCCAAAUUGCCAGCAAACUACCAGAAGCUAGCGGAGGGCCACAGAGCAAAUUCUCUCUUUCACAAUCCUCAGAAGGAAGCAACCCCAUUGACACUUUGAUCUCAGACUUCUAGCCUGCAGAACUGAGAGACAAUAAAUGUCUGUUACAUCCCCAGUUUAUGAUACAUGGUUAAAACAGCCCUAGCAAACUAACCCAGGCACGGAGCGCUACCGUUGAGUGAGAAACAUCUGCUCUGUUCCUUGAGGCUGACUAUUUGGCUACUGAAAGGCUUUCUGUCUUCUAUCCUCCCGCUCAUGUAUCCCCACAAUAACUCCCAUAACCUCAGACAACCCGAGCCUGUCUGCUCCCUGGAAGCUGAAAGAACUUCAGUAACUCAGUUGGAGUGCAGGCAGCAGUGUUUGGGAAGGAGUAAAUGAAGCAGUUGGAAGCAAAGAAGCUGCUGCUUUGGGAUCCGCAAAUCAGAGGAUCAGGAAAUGUGAAACAACUUUCCUGACAGCUUCAGGGAGUGACAUCCAGGCAGGAACUCGGCGGCUUGGCAGAGCUGGAGGAGGAUAGCAGACCAAGAGAAGAAUCUUCAAGUGGACUUCAGGCGGAUCCUACUCCAUGUACUUUCACAAGAGAUCUAGUCCCUUCCUUGCAUUCGAGGCCUCUCCAGCAUCUGAACAAGGAAAUAACAUUGGGACUGCUAUCUGCUGAAGUCUCUGCUGCAGCAAAUGGUACUGUGGCCACCAGUGGGAGGGGCAUACUCUACAAUCUCCUCCGAAAAUGUGAGCAUUCUCAAAAGCACCCUUCAUGCCAUUUGGGUAUAAAUGAAGAGAAAGGAAGAAUAUCGAUCACACAGUGCUUGAAAUUUCCUGGAAGCUGUUACUUCAUGCUUAUUACAUAGUCACCAUAUGACCUUUUAUUAGUUGUUUGCAGGCCAUUUCUCCAACUAAAUUUUAAGCUCUGGUGGUAAAGGGUCAGGGUCCUGCCAUUUUAUUUUCAUACCCUGCACCCUUGCAAAAUUCUAGGCUCAUACAGGAGCUUACUAAAGCUUGCCAGAAUAUUUGAAUUAACUAACAUAACUAACUUCAUAAUUAACCACAAAUUCAUAUUAAUCAUGCUAAAUGAGGGAAGAUGGCAUUGAGCCAUGUUGACAGCUAGCCUACACAGAGCAUCACUGUGUGACACAGAGUUUCUAUGGGGACUCCAAGGAGGAGGCUGGGAGCUCUGAAAACCCCUUUCAGAGGCAGAAUACUUGAAGGAGGAAAAUAUGUUUAAAUGGGGCAAAGGGAGAUUGUCAAGAGAAGAUAAUACCCCGUUUUUAAAAGCCCUGUCCUAAACCACUCAGGCUGCCCAAGAAUGGAGCAGGGCAUCUCACAAAGCCACAGCUGUCCUUGCUGGGCAGAUGAAAGCUGAGUCUGAAGGAUCAUCUGCAGGAAGAGCUGUGAGUCCUCUACGGCCGUGUCUAAAUUUAGGUGUCUCUGAUUCAAAGUGGCAAGCCCAACAUACCCCGCACACCAUCCCCUCUCCUUGGAAUAAAGAACAACAGGAGACCACGCCCCAAGAAAAGUAUACAUGAUGGUGCAAGUACAAAUUGGCCACUUGGCUCACCUCAGGGAGCGUCCUUCCCAGGCCCCUUCCACAUUUCUCUGUGGUUCGGUUUCCAAAGAGUCUGGCUUAAGCACUGCCCUCCCUGCUACCCUCCUGCCUCACUUCUAGAAACAGUUCCUGAAUAGAAAAACAUUCCAGUUUCUACCUAAGGUACCAGACAUGUGAAUAUAUUAGUUUUCAAUUGCUACCUAACAAGUUGCCACAAACUAAGUGUCUUAAAACAUUUAUGUAUUAUCUCAUGGUUUCAUGAGUUAGAAGUCCAGGCAAGUGGAGCUGAGCUGCUUAGGGCCUCACAAAGCUAACAUCAUGGUGUUAGCUGGGGCAUCAGUCUCAUGUGGAGCUCAGAGUGUUCCCAGACUCACUCAGAUUGAUGACAGAAUUUUGAUUCUUGCAGUUGUAGAACUGAGGCCACAUCUUCUGGCUGGAUGUCAGUUGGGGGCUGCUUUCAGCUCCCAAAGGCCACCCUAAGGUCCUAUCCAUGUGGUCCCCUCCACUGAAAGUUCUAGUGCCUGCUCUGUUUCUGUCCCUUUUAAGGACUCACCUAUCAGGCCAGGCCCACCAUGGAUAAUAGGAUAAUCUUCCUUUCCCCAUAAAGACGAGCAUAAUCACCAGGAGUGAUAUUCAUCAUAUUCACAGGUCGUGCCUAUCCUUAAGGGGAGAGAGAUGAUACAGGGUAUCUAUAUCAAGGAGCAGGAAUCUUGGGGACCAUCUUAGAAUUCUACUGCCACAGUGAGUACAGUAUAUCUAAAAUGUACUUUGCGUUUUAUCUUGCUUAAACACUUUCUUAUAUAUUGGCCCAUGUUAGCAAGUUAAGUUAAAAAAAAAAAAAAAGUUAAGUAAAAACUAUAAAUAGCACUUAAAGGAGAAGGAAAGAGGCAGAGGUCCAGAACUCCAGUUUGCCAUUUGCUCCCUCCUCCCCAUAUCAGCCAACCUCAGUUGUUUGCAGUAGAGAAAUGCACAUGCCUGAGAUCCCGCUGACCAAAAUGUCACCCAGCACUUCUGUUUAUUAUUCAUUGGGCAUUGUUGAAUUACACUGGUCAUUUCACCCAUUAUGUGCUAAAUGAUGUGCUAAAUCUGGAGCAUGGGGAGAAAACAGGGAAACCCUGGGGGAAGAUUGCUUUGGGAUGGGCUGACCUGGCCCCCCUUGGCUGCACGUCUGGGUUCAGGCCAUCCUCCCAUCUCCCCUCCCUAACCCUGCAGAGAGUAUCUGCACUUCAGGUUAGUGCUGGCAGCUCUAGAAUUUCCUGUACAUGGGAAUAUACAGGAUUCACCCCCUCUGUGUAAGGGUUCUUCCACUGAGUGUGAAGUUGUGUGAUCCUCUCUGUUGUUGCCUGUUCUCAAGAUUCGUUCCCUUUAUUACCUGAGUAAUGUGAUUGCACCACAGUUGGUUUUCAUUGUCUCAUAGAUGGACACCUGAGAUAUUUCCAAGUUGUGCCUAUCAUGAAUAAAGCUGCUGUGAACAUUCUAGUAUAGGACAAAAGGAUGAAAAGAAGUUUGAAGUCUGUCUUCUGUCUUUUAAUCUUAUUUAUAAUUUUUAAAUAAAAGGUUUCUAAUUUCAAUGG
rnacentral:lncRNA from 10 species